UUCACUGUGACUGACAAGCACAGACACAGAGGCCACGCCUCCUUCACUGUGACUGACGAGCACAGACACAGAGGCCACGCCUCCUUCACUGUAACUGACAUGCACAGACACAGAGGCCACACCUCCUUCACUGUGACUAACAAACACAGGCACAGAGGCCACGCCUCCUUCACUGUGACUGACAUGCUCAGGCACAGAGGCCACGCCUCCUUCACUGUGACUGACAUGCUCAGGCACAGAGGCCACGCCUCCUUCACUGUGACAUAAACACAGACAGAGGACACGCCUCCUUCACUGUGACUGACAAGCACAGACACAGAGGCCACGCCUCCUUCACUGUAACUGACAUGCACAGGCACAGAGGCCACGCCUCCUUCACUGUGACUGACAUGCUCAGGCACAGAGGCCACGCCUCCUUCACUGUGACAUAAACACAGACAGAGGACACGCCU
ensembl:lncRNA